GUUUCUUCAAACCCUAGAAUCCUUACUAAAACUCUCAAAUUGGAGGUGCAAAUCUGGUCCAAAACGAAAAUCGAGCAUAGAUUACUGAUCCCCAUUGCAAGGGGGUUGUAAGUUUGACUCUUGACAAGCUAGAUGGAGGCUUGGAAUGAAGCGGGUCAAACGGAGCAAGUACGAAAAGGAAAGCGUAAUUUGGAUGCGCGUCUUAGGUACUCAAGGAUUAUGGGUGACGAUCAAGCAACUUUUGAAGGACCGAACACAUACUCUUGAAGCUUCCGCAUAAAUCAACUCGAUUUAAACAAUGUUUAU